GAUGAACGCUAGCGGCAGGCUUAAUACAUGCAAGUCGAACGGUAAGUUUGGUAGCAAUAUCAAACCAAGAGUGACGUACGGGUGCGUAACACGUAUGCAACCUACCUUGUACAGGAGUAUAGCUCGGGGAAACUCGAAUUAACCCUCCAUGAGAUCAUAGAAUGGCAUCAUUUAGUGAUUAAAACUCAGGUGGUACAAGAUGGGCAUGCGUCUGAUUAGAGUUGGCGGGGUAAUGGCCCACCAAGACGAUGAUCAGUAGGGGACCUGAGAGGGU
rnacentral:rRNA from 1 species